GGUUUCAAGUAUUUUAUUUUGGUGUGAAAACUAUAAAAGAAUCUGGGCAUGAACAUGUUUAUGUUGCUGUGGAAAAGCCUUUGUUUUUUGCUCAAACUGCUGCUUUUUUGGAGAUACUUCAUAGUCUAGUAGGUUUGGUAAGAUCUCCAAUACCAGCAACUCUGCCAUAGAUAGGUUCGAGAUUAUACGUAAUCUGGGGAAUUUUGUGGAGUUUCCCCAAGGUCCGGACUCAUAUAUUUGUUAGCUCUCUAGUGAUUAGCUGGUAUAACAGAGGUGAGCCUUGCUUAUUCAUAAACCAUGAAAUUUAGGGCUGGCAAACUGGUCAGAAAAAUAAGUAACCAUCUGAUGCGACCCAUUAGAUAUGGGUUGGAGAACUGACCAUUUAAAAAUGGAUCAAAAAUGGAUAU